rnacentral:rRNA from 1 species
CCUACGGGUGGCAGCAGUGGGGAAUAUUGCGCAAUGGGCGAAAGCCUGACGCAGCAACGCCGCGUGAGGGAUGAAGGUCUUCGGAUCGUAAACCUCUGUCAGCAGGGAAGAACGGUCACUGUGCUAAUCAGCAAUGAAUUGACGGUACCUGCAAAGGAAGCACCGGCUAACUCCGUGCCAGCAGCCGCGGUAAUGCGGAGGGUGCGCGCGUUGAUCGGAAUUACGGGUCGUAAAGCGCUCGUAGGCGGUCUGUCAAGUCAAGGGUGAAAUCCCCGCGCUCAACGUGGGAACUGCCUUUGAAACUGGCAAACUGGAGUGUGUGAGAGGAUAGUGGAAUUCCUGGUGUAGGGGUGAAAUCCGUAGAUAUCAGGAGGAACACCAGUGGCGAAGGCGACUAUCUGGAACAUAACUGACGCUGAGGAGCGAAAGCGUGGGUAGCAAACAGGAUUAGAUACCCCGGUAGUC